rnacentral:piRNA from 1 species
AGGUGUGCUUGCUCUGAUGCGACUCUCCU